UACGGAGGAUCCAAGCGUUAUCCGGAUUUAUUGGGUUUAAAGGGUGCGUAGGCGGUUUUAUAAGCUAGAGGUGAAAAUUCGGGGCUCAACUCCGGACGUGCCUCUAAUACUGUAUGACUAGAGAAUAGAUGCGGUAGGCGGAAUGUAUGGUGUAGCGGUGAAAUGCGUAGAGAUCAUACAGAACACCGAUUGCGAAGGCAGCUUACCAAACUAUAUCUGACGUUGAGGCACGAAAGUGCGGGGAUCGAACAGG
rnacentral:rRNA from 1 species